UCCCUCUUAGCUCAUUCGGUAAAGAAUCUGCCUGCAGCGCAGGAGACCCAGGUUCGAUCCCUGGGUCGGGAA
rnacentral:tRNA from 1 species